AUGCUAUCGGGUCGUCCCGCGGAGGAAAUGCCCAGGUCUGCGGGUGAUCUUCUAUCCGAGCUCUCACAACUGCAUGAACAAGUUCGGCAGGUGAUGCAAGGUAUUGCCCAGGCCUUAUGGCCCUCCGUCUCCCUGCCGAAAGGCAUUGUAGAGCUUACAGAGAAGCUCAAAGGAGCACGGCGGCGCUUCCUGUUAUGGAAGAUAUCGGCCUGCCGUCAAGGUGCCAGGGAGGCCUGGACCAUGGUGAAGACGCGGUAUACCAAGGCUGGCCCAAAUCACAUGGCCGAGGUCGGACCUGUGGGGCCCGACGGGAAAGAGAUCCCUAUUAGCUUAGUUUAUGGGCAAGUGGAAUUAGCCGCAAAGUAUUCCCAACAGGAUUGUAAGCUAGACCGCCUGUUGGAUGGUAUAGAAGAGGAAUUUAGUCAGUCUGCAUGA
rnacentral:rRNA from 1 species